AAUGACGAUGACAAUAAAAGGCCAAACUGCAGCGUUUCCAUCGGCAGUGUGUUCUCUACGUCGGCACAUGCUGAAAAAAAUCUCCGAAAGUGAACCAUUGCCUCACCUCGGU
ensembl:snoRNA